GGUGAAGCAUUUGGAGAGGUUGAGAGGUAUUUGAAGGCCAGAAGUGGGGGUUCAGGAAAGAUUUCUUUCCGGAUGGGGUCCCCAUCGAGUAUGGGUUGUAACUGUUUGAUGGUACUCUACAUGGAUUCCAG